rnacentral:rRNA from 1 species
GACGAACGCUGGCGGCGUGCUUAACACAUGCAAGUCGAACGAAAAGAGGGAAAGAGCUUGCUCUUUCCGGAAUUGAGUGGCAAACGGGUGAGUAACACGUAAACAACCUGCCUUCAGGAUGGGGACAACAGACGGAAACGACUGCUAAUACCGAAUAAGUUCCAAGAGCCGCAUGGCCCAUGGAAGAAAAGGUGGCCUCUACCUGUAAGCUAUCGCCUGAAGAGGGGUUUGCGUCUGAUUAGCUGGUUGGAGGGGUAACGGCCCACCAAGGCGACGAUCAGUAGCCGGUCUGAGAGGAUGAACGGCCACACUGGAACUGAGACACGGUCCAGACUCCUACGGGAGGCAGCAGUGGGGAAUCUUCCGCAAUGGGCGAAAGCCUGACGGAGCAACGCCGCGUGAGUGAUGACGGCCUUCGGGUUGUAAAACUCUGUGAUCCGGGACGAAAAGGCAGAGUGCGAAGAACAAACUGCAUUGACGGUACCGGAAAAGCAAGCCACGGCUAACUACGUG